rnacentral:lncRNA from 1 species
GAAGCAAGACAGAGGUGAGUGGCUCCCAGUCACCAAGCUGGGCUUCCUGGUCAAGGACAUGAAGAUCAAGUCCCUGGAAGAGAUCUAUCUCUUCUCCCUGCCCAUAAAAAUGCUGAGAUAAUUGACUUUUUCCUGGGGGCAUCCCUCAAGGAUGAAAAUUUAAAGAUUAUGCCCAUGCAAAAGCAGACUCUUGCUGGCCAGUGGACCAGGUACAGUGGCCACAUCAUCUGGGUGUUAAAUGUUUCAGGGAGGUAGCCACUGCCAUCUGAGGGUCCAUCACCCUGGCCAAGCUCUCCAUUUUCCCCAUGCAGAAGCUAUUGGGGAAUAAGAUUGGUAUGCUCCACAUCAUUCCUUGUGGAGUGACUGACCACUUUGGCCCUGUGCUGGUGUGCCUCAUCUCUGCCCUCAGAUGCACUGGCAAUGUCUCUGCCCCUUUGCCUAAGAAGCUACUGAUGAUGGCCAGUGUCAAUGACUGCUACACCUUGAUCAGGGCUGCACUGCCACCCUAGGCAACUUUACCAAGGCUACCUUUGAUGCCAUCUCCAAGACCUACAGCUAUCUGAUGCCUGACCUCUGGAAAGAGACUGUUGCCAAGUCUCUCCAUGAAGAAUUCACUGACCAUCUUGUAAAGACCACACAAGUUUCCACACACAGGACCCAAGUUCUAGCUAUGGCCAUGACAUAG